GAUCCAGAUCCCUCCCCGCCCCCACUCCUCUCCCCCGAUCCAGAUCCCUUCGCCGCCGCCAACCUCUCCCCUCGCCUCCGCCACCUACCUCUCCCCUCGCCGCCGGUCUGCAGCCGUCUGCACCCUCCCCUCCCCUGCACUCAUCACAAGACAAGAGAAGAGGAAAGGACGGCUCUCCUGAUGCCAGAUCCAAUCCUCCUCCCUCCCUCCUCGCCCCAGCUCGCUGCUCCCCUCCCCUUCCAGAUCGCCGCCACCACCUCCCUCCUCCUCCCUCGCCCCGGCUCCCUGCUCCGCCUCGAUGGGCUGGUGCACCGCCAUGACCGCAACGAGCCCAAUCCCAUCGCCGAAUCUCGGAACAUCGCCACGGCUUCCUACUCCGCGGCGGCCGAGGCGGCGCGGGAGCUGCAGGACGCGGUGGCGGCCCUCGCCGUGCGUCGCGCCGCCGACGAGGACGCGCUGCGGUGCCGCGCCGUCGCGCUGGACGCCGACGUCCGCCGCCUACAGGGCUCCCUCGCCCCCCUCGACCCCGCCGCGCUCGAGUUAGUGCCUCCAAUGUGGUCGACGGCGAGUGCAUCGGGGAUUCGGGGUCGUCUUCAAGAAGGACAAGACUAGGGUCUCCAAUGGAUCAGGGGUUUGUGCAGGCCAUCACCAUGGUACGCCGAGGUGCUGCGGGUGUCAAGGAAGACGAUGGUUCGGUUUAGACAGUGAAGAGAGGAUAGCGUGCAGAGGGGGAGGACGUCGGUUCUAGCUGCUUAGAUUACUCGAGGCAUGAUUUGAUUCGGUACAAGGGGUUUGUCAUGCCAGGCUCCUCUUUUCUGCUGCUUCCAUGCAACGGUGGUGGCAGCUGUGUUGUUCGGCAUCGGCUACAAAAACAGCCAUGGGCGACCGAGGAAGGCAUGUUGUCUGUUUUCUUGAAGGCCGUUAUGUUUGUUCCCAGCCCUAACUACGGUUGUCCAGCUAGUUCGGCAUGUUGUUCAUAUCACUAUGGUAGUCCAACGAGUUUGGCAUGUUGUGAGUUUGGCAUGUUCAUGACGGGAGCAGGUGCCAGUUUGUGAUUGCUUGUAAAGUAAAGCCCAUAAACACCCAAAACGGGUAAUAUAAUAGCAUGGAACAAUCAAAAAUUAUAGAUACGUUGGAGACGUAUCAUGCCUCUAAGGCAUAUUUCCUUCA